rnacentral:ncRNA from 1 species
CAGAGGUCUGGUCCCAGCCUUGAAAUCAAUUCUUACUUUAUUUAUACAUGCAAGUCUCCGCCCCCCUGUGAAAACGCCCUUAAAUCCCCUUAGGACUAAGGAGCCGGUAUCAGGCACAAUUUUUAGCCCAAGACACCUAGCUACGCCACACCCACAAGGGUACUCAGCAGUAAUCAACAUUGAACAUAAGCGCCAGCUUGAUUCAGUUAAAGUAAAGAGGGCCGGCAAAUCUGGUGCCAGCCGCCGCGGUUACACCAUGAGACCCAAAUUGAUUUCUUUCGGCGUAAAGCGUGAUUAAAGUAACAUUACACUGUAGUUAAACUAAAACUUAGUCGUGAUAAGCUUUUAUUUAGGAAACCCAUAAACGAAAGUUACUACACUCAAAACAACUUGAAUUCACAACAGCUAAGACACAAACUAGGAUUAGAUACCCUACUAUGCUUAGCCGUAAACUUUUAAUUACACCCACAACGCCAGGGUACUACGAGCAAAGCUUAAAACCCAAGGGACUUGACGGUACCCCAUAUCCCCCUAGAGGAGCCUGUCCUAUAAUCGAUAAUCCCCGUUUAACCUCACCAUCUUUAGCCUAAUCAGUCUGUAUACCUCCGUCGCCAAUCUACCACGUGAGCGUUUCAUAGUAAAUUAAAUGUUCUCCUAUUCAAACAUACGUCAGGUCAAGGUGCAGCAAAUAAGAUGGGAAGAGAUGGGCUACACUCUCUAACUUAGAAUACACGGAAAACUCGUCAUGAAAAGAGUUUGAAGGCGGAUUUAGUAGUAAGAAGAACUCAGAGUGCUCUUCUUAAACUGGCACUGGGGUGUGUACACACCGCCCGUCACCCUCUUCGCAGCACACACACAGUACUUAACAAAUCACUGCAUAAAAGAAGAGGCAAGUCGUAACAUGGUAAGUAUACCGGAAGGUGUGCUUGGAAA